GGGAGUUUUUAUAGACCAUUAAUCCUGAUUGACAGUUUAAGUGUUUGGGAAUAUUGCACUACUGUGUUGUCUGUGAGUGGCUGUUUUCCUCUCCUAGUUUCCCCACCCCCAGAAGCACUGGAAUAGCUCCCAUCUUUUUAUGAGAUACCCCUGACCUUAUGACCUGCGCAGCUUUCAAAGGAAAGACCCAGCAAUUCAGCAGUUUUUCAGUCAUCGGUCAUAAUUAUGGCAUUAUCGUCUCAGGUUCUCUCUGUGAAAGCUGGACAGUCACACAGCAGGCUGGUUGUUCGGGUUCAAUCCUUCAUCUCUGCCUGCUUCGUUCAGAUGAGGGUGGCCUGCUAUCCAAUCCCAAUCGAGGCCCCACACAGAGGGAAAAUGGCAGGCUUUUUGCCGAAGCUGCUCUGCUGACAUAAUGUCAGUAACCCUGUUAAAAAGAAAUGAAAGGUAAAAGAAUAUAUAAUACUUUUUGGUUCUGUAGCGUGAACUCUGCCUGUGACCCUGCCUCUAAAUGUGAGUGAGAUGGGUUUAAAAACAGGGUCUAACAAUGACUGUGUUAUAGUGUUCCCGGUUUCCUAGUAAAUGGUAAGAUGUGGAUGGGGAAGGAUGAAAAUUAACUCACUACCGUAGGAGUGUGCUUAUCAUUCAAUAGAGUAAUUAUGCUUCACUUAUUUUGGCAUUACAUUGCAUUGUAGUUAGGAACGUUACACAAAGCAGCAAAAUCAUCUUCUUUCUUCUGGGGAAGCGUAUUGGAUAAGUAUCUGGAGAAGAGAUUGCUUAUCAUUUAUCAAAAUUUAAUGGACUCAUCACACCCAAAACCAAUAACCUGUUAACUCAUCUGUGAGUUGUUUUAAUGUUGAGACUGAGGGUCUCAUCUUAAAUAUGUUUAGUGUAAGUGUUUAAGUUUAGCAACAAAAAAAAAAGAACUAUACCCUCAAUGUAAGUUUUGAAUACAUGUAAUCGCAGGGAAGAUAGUCUUCAAGAUCUUGAAUGAAUAGUCUUAUUCAGUCCUGGUUUACCAGGUGUCAGACUGAUACUGCAAUGUGUGCCAGUGCGCCGACCUCUUAAGCUUUCUGAUGUUUCAGAGAUUUCCACUGCCACCUAGAGGCCAUUGGUAAUAUAUACACUAGUUAUGAUUUUCUCGGGUUAUUCAAAUAAGUUUUACAUAUUAAGCACAUAUUUGAAAAAUUGCAUGGUCAGUGCAUGCUGCAUGUAUCAUCUCCUUAGAAAUACAUUUCAGUGUUUAAAUGCUUGAUUUUUUCAUUUUUAUGUUGACCCUUUGUUCUUUUUUCUUUCUUUUUUAAGCAAGUUGAGAAGGAGCACACAUUUAAGAAAAUGAGAGUUUAUGUGCCAUGUUCCAAUUGAAAAGCAAAUAGCAUACAAAUUGUUUAAAUUUAUUUGUCCUUGAACAUUUUUGGCUAUUGUGAUCGGGUAUCGAGAAGGAAACAGUGAGAAAAAGCUCAAAUCUAUACAUCUAGAGAGGUGUAAAGCUAGGUGUUUAGUCAUAAACGGACUAGGUUAGCUUCAGUAUAGCUCAGGUUUGACCUGGAUAUAGCCUGGCUAUGUCCUAGUCGGCUAGAAAACGUUUACUUUUCAACCAAAUGUGUCCAGGUUUUCACCUGAAUGUCUAGAUGGUAUAUUCCCAUCUAGACAUUCAGGUGUCUCCCAAU